rnacentral:rRNA from 1 species
UGUGAACGUUACCAAACUGUUGCCUCGGCGGGAUCUCUGCCCCGGGUGCGUCGCAGCCCCGGACCAAGGCGCCCGCCGGAGGACCAACCAAAACUCUUAUUGUAUACCCCCUCGCGGGUUUUUUUUUAUAAUCUGAGCCUUCUCGGCGCCUCUCGUAGGCGUUUCGAAAAUGAAUCAAAACUUUCAACAACGGAUCUCUUGGUUCUGGCAUCGAUGAAGAACGCAGCGAAAUGCGAUAAGUAAUGUGAAUUGCAGAAUUCAGUGAAUCAUCGAAUCUUUGAACGCACAUUGCGCCCGCCAGUAUUCUGGCGGGCAUGCCUGUCCGAGCGUCAUUUCAACCCUCGAACCCCUCCGGGGGGUCGGCGUUGGGGAUCGGCCCUGCCUUGGCGGUGGCCGUCUCCGAAAUACAGUGGCGGUCUCGCCGCAGCCUCUCCUGCGCAGUAGUUUGCACACUCGCAUCGGGAGCGCGGCGCGUCCACAGCCGUUAAACACCCAACUUCUGAAAUGUUGACCUCGGAUCAGGUAGGAAUA